rnacentral:rRNA from 1 species
AGAGCGAACGCUGGCGGCAGGCUUAACACAUGCAAGUCGAGCGGGCGUAGCAAUACGUCAGCGGCAGACGGGUGAGUAACGCGUGGGAACAUACCUUUUGGUUCGGAACAACCCAGGGAAACUUGGGCUAAAUACCGGAUAAGCCCUUACGGGGAAAGAUUUAUCGCCGAAAGAUUGGCCCGCGUCUGAUUAGCUAGUUGGUGAGGUAACGGCUCACCAAGGCGACGAUCAGUAGCUGGUCUGAGAGGAUGAUCAGCCACAUUGGGACUGAGACACGGCCCAAACUCCUACGGGAGGCAGCAGUGGGGAAUAUUGGACAAUGGGCGCAAGCCUGAUCCAGCCAUGCCGCGUGAGUGAUGAAGGCCCUAGGGUUGUAAAGCUCUUUUGUGCGGAAGAUAAUGACGGUACCGCAAGAAUAGCCCCGGCUAACUUCGUGCCAGCAGCCGC